ACCACUGUUACCACCAUCAUCACCAUACACCAUUCAUUCGCCACACAUGCGCAUCUUGAUUUGACUUAUUGAUUUGUUUCUUUGGAUCCAUGGUUUGACUAUACAAUAAAUGUCUUGUAAGUAUGUAUACUUUAUCUCCCACCUAUGAGCUCUAGAUAUUAAAGCCUUAUUAGAGUAGGGUGAGAGAGAAGGCAAUGUCACUAUGCUUUAUACCACAAAUACUACAUAUUUUGAGAGAAGGCAUAUACCAUCACUGCCUUGGUAAGGAUCCAGAAAUACCACA
rnacentral:lncRNA from 1 species